UGAGGGAAAGCUGCAAAGUACUCUGAAGAGAGAGUUCAAAAGGACGUGAAGCCGUCUGCAGGGAAACGGGUGAGACCGCACGGUAGACCCACGGCGGAUUCAGCUCCGAGGGCAACUUCGGGGUGCACUUCCGCGCCAGUGGGUCGCGCAGGGCCCGGCUCGACGGCCGUCUGAAGCCCGGAGAGGAGGUGACGGGGUUCUUCGGAACUCCGAGUUUAACUCUUCGGCGCGGAGACCGGUUGUUGGGUCGAGGAACGUCCAUCCGUCUUUGACGCGUGGG
rnacentral:rRNA from 2 species